rnacentral:rRNA from 1 species
UACGAAGGGGGCUAGCGUUGUUCGGAAUCACUGGGCGUAAAGCGCACGCAGGCGGAUUGAUAAGUCAGGGGUGAAAUCCCGGAGCUCAACUUCGGAAUUGCCUUUGAUACUGUCUGUCUUGAGUCCGGGAGAGGUGAGUGGAAUUCCUAGUGUAGAGGUGAAAUUCGUAGAUACUCGCAAGAACACCAGUGGCGAAGGCGGCUGACUGGUCCGGUUCUGACGCUGAGGCGCGAAAGCGUGGGGAGCAAACAGG